GACGAACGCUGGCGGCGUGCUUAACACAUGCAAGUCGAACGGUGAAGCGCCUUCCUUUUUGGUGGGCGUGGAUGAGUGGCGAACGGGUGAGUAACACGUGAGUAACCUGCCCCCUUCUUCUGGAUAACCGCAUGAAAGUGUGGCUAAUACGGGAUAUUCUGGGUCUGUCGCAUGAUGGGUCUGGGAAAGAUAUUGUUUCGGUGGGGGAUGGGCUCGCGGCCUAUCAGCUUGUUGGUGGGGUGAUGGCCUACCAAGGCGGUGACGGGUAGCCGGCCUGAGAGGGUGGACGGUCACACUGGGACUGAGACACGGCCCAGACUCCUACGGGAGGCAGCAGUGGGGAAUAUUGCACAAUGGGCGCAAGCCUGAUGCAGCGACGCCGCGUGAGGGAUGGAGGCCUUCGGGUUGUGAACCUCUUUCGCCAGUGAAGCAGGCCUGCCUCGUUUGUGGGUGGGUUGACGGUAGCUGGAUAAGAAGCGCCGGCUAACUACGUG
rnacentral:rRNA from 1 species